UAUAAAAGAAAAUAAUCACCCGUAUAAGCUCGAGCACACAUAUAUAUGUAUAUACAAUACUUGGCCGUUGGAGCCAUCACGUCUAUUAACAAAACUCCACCUUGACUGUACAUUAGGUCUACAAAGCCUCUAGACAAUACACAGAGUUUAACUAAGGUCGGGACACCCCCCGCCAUAUAACUAACUUCUAUACAAUACCAAAAGUGACUGCAUAUGACACGGAAAGCCCCGAAGCAAACUGGAGCUCACCAAAAG
rnacentral:lncRNA from 1 species